rnacentral:rRNA from 1 species
CGGCGGACGGGUGAGUAACGCGUGGGUAACCUGCCUCAUACAGGGGGAUAACAGUUAGAAAUGGCUGCUAAUACCGCAUAAGACCACAGUACUGCAUGGUACAGUGGUAAAAACUCCGGUGGUAUGAGAUGGACCCGCGUCUGAUUAGGUAGUUGGUGAGGUAACGGCCCACCAAGGCGACGAUCGGUAGCCGGACUGAGAGGUUGAACGGCCACAUUGGGACUGAGACACGGCCCAG